rnacentral:rRNA from 1 species
GAUGAACGCUGGCGGCGUGCCUAAUACAUGCAAGUCGAGCGAACGGACGAGAAGCUUGCUUCUCUGAUGUUAGCGGCGGACGGGUGAGUAACACGUGGAUAACCUACCUAUAAGACUGGGAUAACUUCGGGAAACCGGAGCUAAUACCGGAUAAUAUUUUGAACCGCAUGGUUCAAAAGUGAAAGACGGUCUUGCUGUCACUUAUAGAUGGAUCCGCGCUGCAUUAGCUAGUUGGUAAGGUAACGGCUUACCAAGGCAACGAUGCAUAGCCGACCUGAGAGGGUGAUCGGCCACCCUGGAACUGAGACACGGUCCAGACUCCUACGGGAGGCGGCAGUAGGGAAUCUUCCGCAAUGGGCGAAAGCCUGACGGAGCAACGCCGCGUGAGUGAUGAAGGUCUUCGGAUCGUAAAACUCUGUUAUUAGGGAAGAACAUAUGUGUAAGUAACUGUGCACAUCUUGACGGUACCUAAUCAGAAAGCCACGGCUAACUACGUG